rnacentral:rRNA from 1 species
CAACUUUCAGCAGUGGAUGUCUAGGCUCGCACAUCGAUGAAGAACGCUGCGAACUGCGAUACGUAAUGCGAAUUGCAGGAUUCAGUGAGUCAUCGAAAUUUUGAACGCAUAUUGCACUUCCGGGUUAGUCCU